rnacentral:rRNA from 1 species
AACCUGGUUGAUCCUGCCAGUAAUAUAUGCUUGACUUGGAGAUUAAGCCAUGCAUGUCUAAGUAUAGAUCUUCUACGAUCGAAACUGCGAAUGGCUCAUUAAACCAGUUAUAAUUUAUUUGGUGUUCUUCUUAUAUGGAUAACCGUGGGAAACUAGGGCUAAUACAUGCGUAAACCUCUCGGGGUGUAUUUAUUAGUUACAAACUAAUGUCAUUUGAGGAAUCAUAAUAACUGAUCGAAGCGAAUCACUUCGCUAAAUCAUUCAAGUUUCUGCCCUAUCAGCUCUCGAUGGUAGUGUAUUGGACUACCAUGGCAGUAACGGGUAGCGGGGAAUUAGGGUUCGAUUCCGGAGAGGGGGCCUGAGAAAUGGCCACCAUUUCUAUGGAAGGCAGCAGGCGCGUAAAUUACCCAAUCCUGACUCAGGGAGGUAGUUAAUAGAAAUAACAGCUUCGUGGGUAACCAUCGAAGCGCGUAAUGAGAGCAAUGUAAACAAAAGUUCGAAUUCUAUUGGAGGGCAAGUCUGGUGCCAGCAGCCGCGGUAAUUCCAGCUCCAAUAGCGUAUAUUAAUGUUGUUGCAGUUAAAAAGCUCGUAGUUGAAAUUCGGCGUUCCGCGCCUGUCAGUAAAGAUUUCCGAUUCCUAACCGUUUCUGUCAUCUAAGCUGACCUUUACUGUGAAGAAAAUAGAGUGCUCAAGGCAGGCUUUCGCUUGUAUAACGAAGCAUGGAAUAAUAAAACAAGACUUUGUUCUUUUAUUGGUUAUGAGCAAAGUAAUGAUUAACAGAAUCAGUUGGGGGCAUUCGUACUUAAUCGUCAGAGGUGAAAUUCUAAGAUUGAUUAAAGACGAACUAAUGCGAAAGCAUUUGCCAAGAAUGUUUUCAUUAAUCAAGAACGAAAGUUAGGGGAUCAAAGACGAUUAGAUACCGUCGUAGUCCUAACUAUAAACUAUACCGACUAGGGAUUGGUGAGUCUCAAACUCAUCAGCACCUAAUGAGAAAUCAAAGUCUUUGGGUUCUGGGGGGAGUUAACGUUAAUACACAGCCUUGUAAUUAACUGAAGGCCCCAGCGACUCGUUGGUAUAGACACAACCUUCAAAGACCAGCUCCAGUCCGGCAGUAAUGCUGGGCUAGUCGACUCAGUCGGCGACACUUUCAAAUUGCGGGGAAGUCCAAAUGUCCGUUUCACCGCGGUCCGUCGAAAGACAGGAUGCAGCAGCAGGCGUAAUGACCUGCGGGUGGUAAAAGCAAACGGAACGACAUGGAUUAUCCGCAGCCAAGUCCUAAGUCCUCGGAUACGGAUGCAGUUCAGAGACUAAACGGAAGUGGGCGAAAGCUUAAGAUAUAGUCCAUACAAAUUGCUUAUGACCACGGUUGCAGAUUCCAGUUGAUUCGUCAAACUGGCUUCUGUAACCUUGCAUAAAGCCAACAUGAUGACAGUAAAAACGGCGACUCGCAUUGUCCGGGCAUUUCGUUUGAGAACCGGGUGAGGAGAUUUGGGUUAUCCCAAAGAUACGUGUUCGCCGCUUUUCGCAUUAUAGAUUUGGAUGAUGGUCGCAAGGCUGAAACUUAAAGGAAUUGACGGAAGGGCACCACCAGGAGUGGAGUCUGCGGCUUAAUUUGAUUCAACACGGGAAAACUUACCAGGGCAAAAAACUCAGAUGAUUGACAGCUUGACAGUGCUUUCUUGAUUAUGUUGCAAGUGGUGCAUGGCCGUUCUUAGUUGGUGGAGUGAUUUGUUAGGUUAAUUCCCUUAACGAACGAGACCUUAACCUGCUAAAUAGGUGAACCUUAUUCAAGGUCCUACCUUCUUAGAGGGACUACGUUCAACUUAAGAUCGUGGAAGUGUGAGGCAAUAACAGGUCCGUGAUGCCCUUAGAAGUUCUGGGCCGCACGCGUACUACAAUGAUGCAUGCAAAAAGUUCUCCUAGCCUGAAAAGGUUGGGUAAUCUUCUUAAUGUGCAUCGUGCUUGGGAUAGAUCUUUGCAAUUAUGGAUCUUGAACCAGGAAUUCCUAGUAAGUGUGAGUCAUCAACUCACGCUGAUUACGUCCCUGCCCUUUGUACACACCGCCCGUCGCUCCUACCGAUUCGAGUGGUUCGGUGAGCUCUUCUGAUUGUCCUCCAUUAGGAGGAUAAAACGUUGCGCAAAUCAUACCAGGGAGAGGCCGGACAAGGCGUAACAAGGUUUCCGUAGGUGAACCUGCAGACCCCUCAA